GGUUUACAGAUGAGGAAUCUGAGGCUGAGAGAGAAUAACCACUUGUCCAGGGUCAUAGAACUGGAACACACCGUUCACGGAUCUGUUGGCCACACUUUGAGUAGCACAUGCAAAGCACCUUGGAUUUUUCUUGAAGUGCAUUGGAAAGCACACAUGGGGAGGUGGGAAAGAGAAGACUCCAAGAUCACUUGUAGGGUUGUGGUGAUGCUGCUCUUUGUGGAGAUGGAGAAGACCAAAGGAGAACUCAUUUGGGAGGAGAGAGCAAAAGUUCUCAACUUGGGUGAGAAAUAUCUAAUCCUUCAAGUAGAGAGGGCCAGUAGGAAGUCAGAUAAUAUGAGUUUGGGGCUCACAACUGAGGUCAAAGUCAGAGUUGUAAUUUUGGAAAGUCAUGAUAGCCUGCAUUUAAGGCCUCAGACUAGCUGAGUUAUCUAGCAAGUGUGGAAAUGAAAGAAAAGAGAUCCUAGGACUUAGGCCUGGGGCAUUCUGACCUAAGAAUUAUUGACUCCAUCAGUUUUAACAUCCAAGAAAUUUUAUCUUAACAUUUAUGGAGCCCCAAGGCUUCACAAAAACCUGGAAUAACAUUCCCAAGUGUCACAAUGCUGGCAUGAAGUGGCAGUCAAUAAAUAUACAUGGAAUGAAUGAAUGAGCUCCAAAAUAAAGGUUUCAAAAACCCCUGAGAUUUUGCGAUUUUAGAACCCCAAGUUUCUUCCCACCCAUGAUGUGUUAGGUUGAAUGGUGACUUCCCCAAAAGAUAUGUCCAUGUCCCAGAACCUGUAAAUAUGACUUUAUUUGGAAAAAAGAGUCUUCUUUGCAGAUGUAAUUGAGUGAAGAAUCUUGAGAUGAGAUCAUCCUGGAUUAUCUGAGUGGGCUCUACAUCCAAUAAGUGUCCUUAUAAGAAGCAGACGUGGAGGAAAAACACAGACAGAUGGGGAGAAGGCCUUGGGGCUGUGGCAGACAUUGGAGCUGCAGUUUCAAGCCAAGGAUUGACAGCAGCUGCCAGAAGCUUGAAGAGGCAAUGAGAAUUCUAGCUUAGAGUCUCCAGGGAGAGUGCAACCGCCUGGCUGACACAUGCCAAUCCUUCCAACGCCUUCAUUUUAGACUUCUGGGCUUCAGAACAGUGAGAAAAUAGAUUUCUGUUGUUUUCAGUCAUCCCGUUUGUGGUCAUUUGUUACAGAAGCCUCAGGAAACUGUUACACAUGGUCUCUUUUAGCUGAUGCUGAUGCAAUAUUUCCUUUGGAGCUCUGCUGUAUUCUGAUUCAGUGAUUCUCAACUCUGGCUGCACAUUAGAGUUGCCUAGAUAUUUUCUGACAAAGGUUGGUUGGUAUCUGGAACAUCCUCAGAGAUUCUGAUUCAGUAGGGCUGUGGUACAGGCUGAUACUGGUGUAGAGCCAGACAUAAGAACUGCCAUUUAAUUAGUCACAACAACUUAACAUCAAGGGGUGGCACAGAGGUACAGGGGGUGGGAAUACCUGUGUAAUUGUUUUCACCUUAGGAAUUUGCUUUGAAACAUAACAAUAUGUGUCUUUACAUUCAAGUAUAUUCUUAGAAACUAGCUGAAGCCGUUUCGCAUCCUUGUGGCACUAAGUCCUGUUUCCACCGUGAAACAGGUACCAAGACAGUCCUGUUUCCACUGUGAAAAAAUAAACGGAUGUUCUGACAGGUGGCCACCGUUGCUGACCUGACCAUUCCCCAGAAGCACCAGGAGGCAUUGCUUUCUAGACUGAAGCUCGGUCGUGCUUCGCUUUAGUCUAAUCAAAAAGAUUUGCUUGCAAGCCUUCAUUCCAUAUGGUUCCAGUGCCUUCCAUACCAUCAGAUAAUGACAAUUGUGAGUUUCUGGUGGCAUGCUACUUCAUGUAAUUAAAAAUUGCUGCAUAGAUGUGCUGAAUAGGAGAAGAGUAAGUUAUUAUUUGGAGGGAAGAGGAUUCCCAGUUGUGGAACAAAGCAAUUCCUUGUACCCUGGUUCUAAAUAAAUGUUUCUUUAUUUUGGAA